ACUUAUCCACACUGAGUGUUCUGUCUUGGCCACAAGCUGCAGGACACAUAAUGAGGAAAGGAACACCACUCAAUUUAUCUUCUGGGUUGGCAAAGCUGCAUGGGUGAAGGCAGAGACAAAUCUCCUGGGAUGCUGCAGCUAUUGUGGGCUGUUGAAAGUGACAGUCCUUGGAGGAAAGGAGAACUUGCAACAUAAGGUGCCUGCAGCUUCCCUUGUGCCUUCACUGCAUACUGAGGACAGCCAAUGUGACUGGAGGGAAGAAUAAAGAGUCUUUUCUGGUGGU